UGGUGAUGAUUACUUUUAUUUUAUCCGCGCUUCCGAGAACAAUCGAUGAAGCAAAUAAGUAAUAAAAAUGGUUGAAUUUCUUGAUAUGAGCCA
rfam:Gossypium raimondii Chr13_contig_233, whole genome shotgun sequence.